GGGGGCGUAGCUCAGAUGGCUGAGCGCUCGCUUAGCAUGUGAGGGGUACGGAGAUCGAUACCCCGCGCCUCCA
rnacentral:tRNA from 1 species